UACAUAGUGAUAGAAGUGUGGUAAAUUCAUGCUUAAUGCGAGGUUUGUAUUAAUUUUGCAAAUGAAUUGUUCAUCAAACAUACAAGUGCAAAGUUUUAUCACCAUGAUAAGGCAGAUGUCACACAAGGACCAUAAUAGUAUUAAUUUUGCAAAUGAAUUGUUACGAUAAUAAGUAGAUUUAUUUUUGGUCUCUUAAUUUGCUUUAGCUUGACAUAGUAACUAACUAACGAUAUUGCGGACAGUACUCGGGACAUUGGCUAGUAGCCUAGUACUCAACCAGCUCCAUUACACAAUGCAAUUGCUGUAAAUGGAAGUUUCAUCUGGUCAAACUCGAGCUGGAGUUGAGAUCUGUGAAAGUCGCUACUUUAGAAUACUUAUGCUAAUGGGUUCUUUUUGUACAAUAUAUUAUAUGUGAGUUAUAUUAUUAAUGAGCGGAUGUAUGGUCGUAUGCUAAUAUAUUUUGUGAUGAAUUUCCAAUGUUGGUUCUCUUCCAAGUUCCGCUUGAAGUAAAUGUGGUACUGAUUGGUUUCGGUGGAGAUGGGGGUUAUAGAUACAAAAUGGAUUUGCAGAAACUGAAAGAGUUUCUGCGAGUGGGCUUUCCAUCUAACAGGCCCUCAUGUCUAGAGACUGGCAAACCCCUUGACAUUGAGCAUCACAUGGUGUUCAUUUCAGGCGGCACAGCCAGAACUUAUAGCACUCGAGAAGGCUCUAAAGAAGCCAUGGUUCCUGUGGAACUGCUAGAGAGGUGACUUCAGUUGUUUAUAGCUUUGGAAUUUGACAAGUGACUCUUUUGGUAUUUGAGGGACGAAUGGCAACGAUACGUGCUACACAACAAAAUACUGAAAGGUAGUGAGGUUUUAAUAAGCUACAUCGAGACAGCAGGAAACACAGUGACUCGGCAAAAAGCUCUAAAACAACAGUACUUCUUCACUUGCAGCUGUCCCCGUUGCAUAAGACUGCCUCAGCCUGAAGAUAGUGUGAUGGUUUCUUGCUUCGUGAUCCUGGUAACAGUUCGAGAUGAUUGGAAAUGGUUGGAAUAGAGCUGACAUGUUCGAAAUGGAGUAGGCGAAAGGUGGAAGUCCAUAUGGUGCAGGUACUUAUGCAGGGGAUGGGUCAAGACAACCAUCUGAACUCGAGUUGCAGCAAGCUUUCCAUCAGGGUAAGCACAUUGCUACCAUCGCCAAGAAACUCAAGGGAAGCCCGUGAUGUGCAUCUAACUCACUGAAACAAUGUCAAGAUAAAUACAAUUAGGUUACCUGUUAUUAACUUGUGGUUGUAUGAAAUACAUUGUUUUGAUAUAUGAAAUUCGCUCUUUUGUUA